GGGGAGGUUCGACUCGAGCGAAGCGAGAGAACGUUGCGCCAGCAACGGCCCGCAGGGCGAGCCACGAAGUGGCGAGUAAUCCUCUAUCACCGACCA
rnacentral:sRNA from 1 species